AAAGACUAUUUUCAAGUUACGUUCAUAUUAUUAUAAUAGUUGUACAGUGCUCUGUUCGAGUAUUGCGUCUGCUGAGUAGGCGGAGUUUAAUCCUAAGUCUCGCGAGUUCGACAGAAAAUAACGCGAGAUCAGAUACGCAGCAAUGGAGGAGACGGAAGAAAUGCGGUGUGUGUUGUUAUUGUAAAUUCAUGAUUCAAUGUGAAUUAUAGCCAUCCGGUUAUAGUACAACCAUAGAGCAUUCAUAUCGUGUGCAGUUUGGCAUUCUCAGAUGUGAUGGGCGGCCGAUGUUGUGUGAUCGCUCCAGAGAUAUGUGGAUUUGUAUGGUGAAUACCAUCACGUGCGUCAUUGCAGAUUGUAAGUGUUUGUUUUACUUUAUUUAGUUUAAUAAUCAUUGUCUUGACACUCUGUUAGAUACAUUAACAAGAUGACUGUUCAGUUGUAAAGAUUAGUUGCUAUAUUAUUCAUUUAUCACAUGUGCAAUGACUCGCGUGUUCACUCAAGUGAUACGAUAAUGGUGCGGCACUUUAUUGUACAAAUCGUGCUGGAAACUUAUUGAGUUAAUUUGUAUAUUUGCAGAACCACGUUCAUCCACGUUUAUCCAGCUGAGUGUGUAUAUUACACACACCCAUCACGCCUAUGGAACACCGCAGCACACGACAAUACAUUCAUCAUUGUUAAUAUCACCUCACAUUAAGCCUCUCAGGACCAAAUAAGGAUGCAGACUGAGGAUUUAACCACCUGUUUGAGUUUCAAUGUGAUGACAUCGCGUGUGAGGAUUAACAUUUGACCAAAUCUGUACCCUCCUUGCGUUAAGUGGACUUUUUGGAACACUUCAGACUUGCAAAGACUGAGUACACUCAUUUUCACCACCUCAUUGCCUGAUUUGCAAUCACAUAAUUGUAUUUCUUGAAUCAAAGUUUAUUGUUAUACUGAUUGUUUAUUUUGCGUAGGCCUACGCUGUUUUAUUUGAGAAGUAUUCAUGUUUUAUUAACAUUGUGAAUAAGUUGUUCAAUUUAUCAUUUGAACAAUCAAUACAUUCAGUAAAUCUGAUCCCUGACUCUGGUGUCGUUACUCCUCUCCUAGUCCCUGGACAUUAAUUGGGUAAAUAAUCCUCUAAGGUGAUUUAGAUCCGUAAUAGUAAUCAGUGCAUAACACAGUCUUCAAUACAUUUGAUGGUCCUUCGAGCUGGAUACCUAUAACCACUUUAGCAAUGAUGUCCAGGCCUAGGGAGGAGCCUUUAGAGCCAGAGGUUGUACGUCCACGUAGAAUAACUAGACCGCCAUCGUAUCUACGUGAUUAUGAUGUCAGUUAUUCUCAAAACCGUUUAGCGUUUGCAGAGGAGCAGUCUGAAAUGCUAUCUUGUAUGCGUGAAAUGAGGGAGGAAAAUAUGCGAUUGAGACAAGAUGUGAAACGCAUAUCGGAACUGAUUGCUAAUUCUCCUGUGUUAGCUUCCCAGGGUUCAUUGUCUGUGCAGCGACCUUCGAAUGAUGAUGUUGGGUUGUCAUCCACACCAAAGUCUACCAGUAAUCCUAACCAGCCUGAACACACUCCUUUGGUGCCAUCUAGAGAUGAAUCACUCCACACAGGUCAUAACCGUGGUGGCCGAGAUCUCAUUGAAGAGCUGACAGAAAGUUUGAAGAAAGUUGGUCGGUUUAAUGAUAAUCAGUCUGGUUCAGGUAUGUCGACUCCUUCUUAUAAUGACCCUCUUAACAGCAAAAGUGAUUCACCACGAUACGGGAAUGAUGCUAACGUUCCGUUGAGGCAACAUAGUCUGUCUGAUCAUUAUAAUCAUCAUACAGAUAAUUCUCCCUUUGGACAGUCUCGCAUGUCAACUCGUGAUGUUCAUCGAACGGCAAUUGAUCCUUACCAUCGUUGUUCGAGUGAUAGACACUUACCAGACUAUACUCAGAGGGAUCAUUUUGAUCAUUCUCCGUUUGAUUGGAGGCAAGAGUGCAUUCAAGAAAGUAGACCGUUGCCACCUAACCAUUCUUACUAUUCACAGGGACGGUCUGAGCUUCCAUCUGCCUUAUGUCCUUCAUCCAUGCAAUAUCGGGGACCCACUCCUAAAAUCCCAGAUUUCUGUCGGGAUGAUCCCCGGGAGUUUGCGCGUCUUAAGUUGGCAUUAACCAACAUCCUACCUGACGAUGCUUCUGAGUCCUUUAAGUUCCAAAUACUUAUGGACCAUCUUAAGUUGGAAGAUGCUUUGCUUGUCGCUGACUCAUAUAGUCACAGUCGUACGCCCUUCAGCGACACAAUGAGAGCACUCACUGAUAUGUAUGGCCAGCCGCAUCAGUUGGCUUUGCAGAGGAUUGGUAAUCUAAUGGAUGGGCCCAGUAUCAGGAGCGGUGAUGUGAAGUCUUUCAAGGCAUUCGCCCUUCGCGUCCGUGCACUGGUUGGGAUGUUGAACCAGUUAGGUAGCACAGGUUGGACCGAACUGAAAUGUGGAUCACACGUUUCUCGUCUCUUAGCUAAGUUGCCGUACGACCUAAGAGCUAACUUUAAGAGAUUCAUUAACCCACUACAGACACCGAUUCCAACGCUACUCGACUUCGCUGACUGGUUAGAAUACGAAGUACGUGUCCAAGUAGAGGGAACUCAAUAUGGGACCUAUCCUGACCAGGAGAAACACAGCUCUCGUAAAGACAAGCGAACUAGCUUUGUGCCCCGUAAGAUGACUACUGUUCUACAUGGAGGAGAGCAGAAAGUAGCACCAGUAGAGAAUCCAAAGACCACGGCCACAGAUCCAGACAGACCACAGGACAAGCCUAAGAAAUAUUGUCCAUUCUGUGACACAGUUCAGCACUACAUGAACCAGUGCUCUAACUUCAAACUUCUCUCUAAUGAGCAGAUCGAAAGUUGGAUUAGAACAGGCAAUAGGUGUUGGCGCUGCGGUCGAGGCCAUUCGUCAGCUAAAUGUACACUGAAGGCAAAGUGCAAGCGAUGUGACCGAAGGCAUCUUGAUGUCCUUCAUGAUGUCAAUUCCAGCUCAGAAGCAAUGAGAAAAGGCAGUAUCAAGACGUCUCAGAAAGAUGCAAAUUCAAUGGAGCCUGCUUCUCAGACCUUGUACUUAGAUCGACCUGCAAGUAGUAAGCAGGUGUUACUUAAGUUAAGCCGAGUGAUCCUUCAGAAUGGUGAUAAAUCGCUUGAAACUUACGCUGUGCUAGACGACGGAUCUGAGCGAACUAUCUUGUUGUAUGAAGCUGCUCAAUGUCUAGGCCUCCAAGGUGAAGUCGAAAACUUGGCUUUGCGCACGGUAAGACAGGAAGUUCAUACUAUUCAUGGAAGAGCUGUAUCCUUCUCUAUAUCACCUGUAUCAAAUCCUGACAGAUCUUACUCUAUCAAAGGUGCAUUCACAGCAAAAGAGCUUGCUCUGGUUCAACAUACUUACCCCAUUGCUGAUUUGCAAAGUAGAUAUCGUCAUCUCCGUGAUUUACCUUUGAAUGACAUCCACGAAGCACAGCCUUUGCUGCUUAUUGGUUCAGAUUAUCCUCACUUGAUAACCCCUGUCGAGCCCGUGAGACUUGGUCCCCCUGGAGGCCCUGCAGCGGUUCAUACAAAGCUUGGCUGGACUUUACAGGGCCCAUCAAGUUUCCUUAAUCCUUCUUUACAUUCUCAGGAAUGUUUGUUCAUUUCCUGUCUUUCUCCUGAGAAUGAGCUUUUCCGUCAGGUUGAAAAUCUUUGGAAGUUGGACACUCUUCCAUAUCGAUCUGAGAAAGUGGUUAGUCGAUCUCGACAGGAUGCAGAAGCUAUUCACCUUCUAGAGGAGAAAACCAUCAGGAUUGAUGUGGAUGGUGUCAAAAGGUACGCCACACCUCUACUCUGGAAAGAGUCGCCGCCUCCUUUGAACGCACCUAAGGAAGCAGUCAUGGCCCUGUUACGCAGUUCAGAGAGGAAACUAGCUAGAGAUCCUAGUAUGGCUGAGGCUUACGAAUCGGAGAUUCAGAAAUUGCUGGUCGCGGGUUACGUCACCCCAUUGACAUCUGCAGAGUACGAUCUGAGCUACAAGUCGUGGUACAUACCACAUCAUAUGGUCCAGCACAAUGCAAAGAACCGUAUUGUUUUCAAUUGUUCUUUUGAAUACCAGGGUAAAUCUCUGAAUGACCAUCUUUUGCCCGGUCCUACGUUAAGUUCUAGCUUGUUGGGGGUACUCCUCCGCUUUCGGGAACAUCCCGUGGCCAUCUCCAGUGAUGUGAAGGGCAUGUUCCAUCAAGUCCGCCUACUUGAUGAGGAUAAACCAUUCCUUCGCUUUCUGUGGCGGCAUGGGAGGACAUCAGAACCUGCUGUGGUGUAUCAGUGGCAAGUCCUGCCAUUCGGCACUGCGUGUAGCCCUUGUUGUGCUACUUACGCACUUCAGGCUCAUGCAAAGGUGGAUCUUGAGGCUACCGAUGAAGUACGUCAAACUGUGGAGCGCAACUUCUAUGUUGACAAUUGUCUCAAGAGUGUACCAACUGAAGCUCAAGCUGUACAGCUGGUAAACCGAUUGCAGUGUCAUCUUAAGGAGGGUGGAUUUGAACUGAGGCAAUGGGCCAGUAACAUCCCUGAGGUUAUUUGCCACCUUCCUGCUGAGUUAAAGUCAAGUAGUAGUGAUAUCUGGCUCCGUCAAGAAAUGACCAACCCUCAAGAGAAUGCCCUUGGAUUGAUAUGGCAGUGCAGAUCCGACACAUUGGUAUACAAACCUUACCAAAAGGAAAAGGGUGAAACUACCAUGCGGAACAUCUAUCGCACCCUAGCCAAGCUUUAUGACCCUCUUGGGUAUCUCAUUCCGUAUACCACAAGAGCCAAGAGUGUCGUGCAGUUGUUGUGGGACAAACGACGUGAAUGGGAUGACCCUAACCUACCGAUGGGUCUACUAGACAUUUGGCAUCAGUGGGAGAGCGAGCUACCACAUUUGCCGGAAAUUCACAUACCAAGAUGUUACAGUGCCAGCCUUCAGCAUCCAGUUAAGAGCCGCAGUGUCCAUGUAUUUUGUGAUGCUUCUGAAAAAGCGUAUGGCUCUGUGGCAUACUUGUGCUCUGAAGACGAACACGACAACAUGCAGGUUUCCUUCCUGGCUGCAAGGUCACGAGUCGCUCCAAGGAAACAGAUCUCCAUCGCUCGUUUGGAGCUUUGCGCUGCAUUGACCGGGGCACAGCUGGGAGAUGUCUUAAAGAAAGAGCUGACUCUAGAUAUCCACCAAUUUGUAUACUGGUCUGAUUCGACUACGGUUCUUACCUGGCUCCAGUCUGAUUCGUGCAGAUACAGAGUAUUCGUGGGAGUUAGAGUCACAGAAAUUCAGGAGUUGUCCGACCCGGGAGCUUGGCGCUAUGUUGAUUCAGCAUCCAAUCCUGCGGAUGAUAUCACACGUGGGUUGUCUCUGGUUCAGCUAGCCGAAGAAACACGAUGGAAACGAGGUCCAGAUUUUUUGACAAAGCCUAGUAGCUGUUGGCCAAAGGUACCAGAAGGUCAGGUCCCUGAAGAAAAUCAGGAACUCAAGAAAUCUGUGUUUUGUGGAUCAUUGAAGGAGGCUGAAUCGCAAUCUGAGCCUGACGCCCAGGAGUUCAGUAGCUAUUCUGAAUUUUUGGAGGCUACAGCUCGAUCCCUUCACGGGGCGGCUGUUUCACUGAGUGCAGAUGAGUUUCAGAAAGCAGAGUUAUCUAUCCUGAGACAAUGCCAAAUGCACGAUUUCCCAGAGGAAUUUUCUCUGCUCAAAGAUGGAAAGGCCAUUCCUGCACAUAGCCGACUGAUUAAGCUUGCUCCUGAAUAUGACAAAAGAGUUGGAUUUGAUUAGAGUAGGAGGACGACUCCGUAGGUGUCAUGGGUUGAGUGAAGAAAUCCUACACCCUAUAGUUCUGUCUCCAAACCAUCCUGUAGUGAAGCUCCUAAUCAAGCACUAUGAUGCACAACUGCACCACCCAGGAGCUGAACGAGUAUUCGCUGAGUUACGGCGCAAGUUUUGGAUUUUGCGAGGAAGAGAGGCGAUCAAAAGGCAUCAACACAGUUGUCUUGAUUGUAAAAAGUGGAGAGGCAAGCCGAUGGUUCCGAGAAUGGCAGACCUACCUUCGUCCAGUUUGAGAUUAUUCAAACCCCCCUUUUAUUCAACAGGGAUGGACUGUUUUGGGCCAUUGAUGGUAAAGGUAGGUCGUCGCACGGAGAAGAGAUGGGGAAUUGUAUACAAAUGCCUCACGACUCGAGCUGUACAUCUUGAUCUGCUGUAUCACAUGGAUGGCGAUUCAUUCUUGAUGUCUCUCAGGCGUUUUGUUGCUCGACGGGGAAAGCCAUACGAGCUCCUCUCCGAUCAGGGAACCAAUUUCAAGGGUGGAGCUAAGGAGCUAGAGCAAACCUUUCACCAGAUCCAGCCAAGCCUCAGAGAUCAGCUAGCAAAGGAGCAAAUCAGAUUCCAGUUCAAUCCUCCCAGUGCACCUCAUUUUGGUGGAUCUUGGGAAAGAGAGGUGAGGUCGGUGAAGACGGCCUUAAGAACCACCUUAGGUGCUCAGACCGUUACUGAGGAGGUAUUGAGAACAGUCUUAGUUGAGGUCGAAAAUAUUCUCAAUUCCAGACCUCUGGGUUAUGUCUCUAGCGAUGUAGCCGAUCCCGACCCAGUAACGCCAAAUUCCCUGCUGAUGGGGCGGCCUGACUCCUCUCUGCCUCAGGUUGUUUAUUCAGAUUCUGAAUUACUCAGCAAGAAAAGGUGGAGACAUAGUCAAGUUCUUAGUGACCAUUUUUGGAAGCAUUUCGUCCAUGACUUCUUGCCCACUCUGCAAUCACGGCAGAAAUGGCACCGUGAGAGACAGAACAUUGCAGUUGGUACUGUAGUACUCAUUGUUGAUGAACAGCUUCCGAGAGCACUAUGGAAAGUUGGCACUGUUUCUUCUGUCAUUCCCAGCUCAGAUGGUAGAGUCAGAACGGCGGUUGUCAAGGUUAAAGAUCAAACAUACACCAGACCAGUAGUUAAGCUGAUUGAGUUGCCAGCUUUACCCCCAGACACAGACAGUUCAUCAUAGACCUUACUAAGGGCAAAUUUGCAUACCAAAUUUGGGGGCGGCUGUGCAAAAGACUAUUUUCAAGUUACGUUCAUAUUAUUAUAAUAGUUGUACAGUGCUCUGUUCGAGUAUUGCGUCUGCUGAGUAGGCGGAGUUUAAUCCUAAGUCUCGCGAGUUCGACAGAAAAUAACGCGAGAUCAGAUACGCAGCAAUGGAGGAGACGGAAGAAAUGCGGUGUGUGUUGUUAUUGUAAAUUCAUGAUUCAAUGUGAAUUAUAGCCAUCCGGUUAUAGUACAACCAUAGAGCAUUCAUAUCGUGUGCAGUUUGGCAUUCUCAGAUGUGAUGGGCGGCCGAUGUUGUGUGAUCGCUCCAGAGAUAUGUGGAUUUGUAUGGUGAAUACCAUCACGUGCGUCAUUGCAGAUUAACCACGUUCAUCCACGUUUAUCCAGCUGAGUGUGUAUAUUACACACACCCAUCACGCCUAUGGAACACCGCAGCACACGACAAUACAUUCAUCAUUGUUAAUAUCACCUCACAUUAAGCCUCUCAGGACCAAAUAAGGAUGCAGACUGAGGAUUUAACCACCUGUUUGAGUUUCAAUGUGAUGACAUCGCGUGUGAGGAUUAACAUUUGACCAAAUCUGUACCCUCCUUGCGUUAAGUGGACUUUUUGGAACACUUCAGACUUGCAAAGACUGAGUACACUCAUUUUCACCACCUCAUUGCCUGAUUUGCAAUCACAUAAUUGUAUUUCUUGAAUCAAAGUUUAUUGUUAUACUGAUUGUUUAUUUUGCGUAGGCCUACGCUGUUUUAUUUGAGAAGUAUUCAUGUUUUAUUAACAUUGUGAAUAAGUUGUUCAAUUUAUCAUUUGAACAAUCAAUACAUUCAGUAAAUCUGAUCCCUGACUCUGGUGUCGUUACUCCUCUCCUAGUCCCUGGACAUUAAUUGGGUAAAUAAUCCUCUAAGGUGAUUUAGAUCCGUAAUAGUAAUCAGUGCAUAACACAGUCUUCAAUAC